UACGAAGGGGGCUAGCGUUGUUCGGAAUUACUGGGCGUAAAGCGCACGUAGGCGGAUAUUUAAGUCAGGGGUGAAAUCCCAGAGCUCAACUCUGGAACUGCCUUUGAUACUGGGUAUCUUGAGUAUGGAAGAGGUAAGUGGAAUUGCGAGUGUAGAGGUGAAAUUCGUAGAUAUUCGCAGGAACACCAGUGGCGAAGGCGGCUUACUGGUCCAUAACUGACGCUGAGGUGCGAAAGCCAGGGGAGCAAACGGG
rnacentral:rRNA from 1 species